UACGUAGGUGGCAAGCGUUGUCCGGAUUUAUUGGGUUUAAAGGGUGCGUAGGUGGUCUAUUAAGUCAGUGCUGAAAUAUUCCGGCUUAACCGGGAGGGUGGCAUUGAUACUGAUGGACUUGAGUAAAGUUGAGGUGGGCGGAAUUGACGGUGUAGCGGUGAAAUGCUUAGAUAUCGUCAAGAACACCUAUUGCGAAGGCAGCUCACUAAGCUUUAACUGACACUGAGGCACGAAAGUGUGGGGAUCAAACAGG
rnacentral:rRNA from 1 species